rnacentral:rRNA from 1 species
UGCAAGUCGUACGCACUGGCCCAACUGAUUGAUGGUGCUUGCACCUGAUUGACGAUGGAUCACCAGUGAGUGGCGGACGGGUGAGUAACACGUAGGUAACCUGCCCCGGAGCGGGGGAUAACAUUUGGAAACAGAUGCUAAUACCGCAUAACAACAAAAGCCACAUGGCUUUUGUUUGAAAGAUGGCUUUGGCUAUCACUCUGGGAUGGACCUGCGGUGCAUUAGCUAGUUGGUAAGGUAACGGCUUACCAAGGCGAUGAUGCAUAGCCGAGUUGAGAGACUGAUCGGCCACAAUGGAACUGAGACACGGUCCAUACUCCUACGGGAGGCAGCAGUAGGGAAUCUUCCACAAUGGGCGCAAGCCUGAUGGAGCAACACCGCGUGAGUGAAGAAGGGUUUCGGCUCGUAAAGCUCUGUUGUUGGAGAAGAACGUGCGUGAGAGUAACUGUUCACGCAGUGACGGUAUCCAACCAGAAAGUCACGGCUAACUACGUGCCAGCAGCCGCGGUAAUACGUAGGUGGCAAGCGUUAUCCGGAUUUAUUGGGCGUAAAGCGAGCGCAGGCGGUUGCUUAGGUCUGAUGUGAAAGCCUUCGGCUUAACCGAAGAAGUGCAUCGGAAACCGGGCGACUUGAGUGCAGAAGAGGACAGUGGAACUCCAUGUGUAGCGGUGGAAUGCGUAGAUAUAUGGAAGAACACCAGUGGCGAAGGCGGCUGUCUGGUCUGCAACUGACGCUGAGGCUCGAAAGCAUGGGUAGCGAACAGGAUUAGAUACCCUGGUAGUCCAUGCCGUAAACGAUGAGUGCUAGGUGUUGGAGGGUUUCCGCCCUUCAGUGCCGGAGCUAACGCAUUAAGCACUCCGCCUGGGGAGUACGACCGCAAGGUUGAAACUCAAAGGAAUUGACGGGGGCCCGCACAAGCGGUGGAGCAUGUGGUUUAAUUCGAAGCUACGCGAAGAACCUUACCAGGUCUUGACAUCUUGCGCUAACCUUAGAGAUAAGGCGUUCCCUUCGGGGACGCAAUGACAGGUGGUGCAUGGUCGUCGUCAGCUCGUGUCGUGAGAUGUUGGGUUAAGUCCCGCAACGAGCGCAACCCUUGUUACUAGUUGCCAGCAUUAAGUUGGGCACUCUAGUGAGACUGCCGGUGACAAACCGGAGGAAGGUGGGGACGACGUCAGAUCAUCAUGCCCCUUAUGACCUGGGCUACACACGUGCUACAAUGGACGGUACAACGAGUCGCAAGCUCGCGAGAGUAAGCUAAUCUCUUAAAGCCGUUCUCAGUUCGGACUGUAGGCUGCAACUCGCCUACACGAAGUCGGAAUCGCUAGUAAUCGCGGAUCAGCAUGCCGCGGUGAAUACGUUCCCGGGCCUUGUACACACCGCCCGUCACACCAUGGGAGUUUGUAACGCCCAAAGUCGGUGGCCUAACCUUUAUGGAGGGAGCCGCCUA